GAUGAACGCUGGCGGCAUGCCUAAUACAUGCAAGUCGAACGAAAUUUAAGGUUGCUUGCAACCAAGAAUUUAGUGGCGAACGGGUGAGUAACACGUAGGAAACUUACCCCAAAGACGAGGAUAACUGUGAGAAAUUGCAGCUAAUACUGCAUAGGUAACAAAGUCGCAUGACGUUGUUAUUAAAGAGGCUUUCAAGCCUUACUUUGGGAUGGUCCCGCGUUGUAUUAGCUAGUUGGUGAGGUAAAGGCUCACCAAGGCGAUGAUACAUAGCCGACCUGAGAGGGUGAUCGGCCACAUUGGGACUGAGAAACGGCCCAAACUCCUACGGGAGGCAGCAGUAGGGAAUCUUCGGCAAUGGACGAAAGUCUGACCGAGCAACGCCGCGUGAGUGAAGAAGGUUUUCGGAUCGUAAAACUCUGUUGGUAGAGAAGAACGUUGGUGAGAGUGGAAAGCUCAUCAAGUGACGGUAACUACCCAGAAAGGGACGGCUAACUACGUGCCAGCAGCCGCGGUAC
rnacentral:rRNA from 1 species